AUAAUCAAUUGUUUUUUAAUUGAAAACUGGAAUGAACGAAUUGAUGAAAUAUAAUUUGUCUCAGAAUAAUAGAAUUGAAUUUAAAUUAAGAGUAAAAAUGCUUUUAUUUAAUUAUUAGACGAUAAGACCCUAUAGAAUUUUAUAAAAUUUAUUUAUUAAAGAUUAUAUGUAUUAAAAUAUUUAAUAAAUAAUUAUAUUUUAUUGGGAGGAUAUUUAAAUUUAUAGAACUUUAAGAAUGCGCAAACAUUAAUUAAUGAGUAUUUGAUUAUUAUUAUAAUUAUUAGAAUAAAUUACCUUA
rnacentral:rRNA from 1 species